UGCUGCGUUCUUCCUGGCCGGUCGCGAGAACGCCUUUUCUUGUUUGUGGUGAAGAUGAGAUCUCUCAACUUCCUGUCCCUGUUGCUUUCUGCCAUGCUUACCACAUGACUAUGGAGCUGUGAGUCAAAAUAAAGUCUCUCUUCCCUAAGUUGCAUUUGGUCGUGGUGUUUUAUCACAGCGACAAAAUAAUACACAAAACCACUACCAUGUGCUCAGAAUGUCUAUCUCAGAUUAAGAUCUGAGUAUCGAGAAAGUGAAGUGUGCAGAGGCCAGCACAGUCGCCCUUACAGCAGGACUCCAGGAGGACUCCAGGGAUCAUGGUUUGGAGGUGUUUAUGCCUCCAGUGGUUCCCAGCUGAAAACAUCUCUUGAAGGAUGGAUCAUAUAACCAGAAGAAUCACAUAUGAAUAACAUUAUCAGUGCCUUGCUCAGCCAUCAUCAGAGAAGCUUCCCCCUGCUGCAAAGGAGAGGAAAUAUAGAGACCCACAGGCUGGCCUUACACAUAGAGUGAAACACUCAGCCCUAAAUGGAUGUCUAUCAAAGCCCUUCCUCAGGGCUCAGGGAACUCCACAGAAGAGGAGACAGAAAGAACGUGAGAGCCAGAAGGUAUAGAGAGCACAAGAAAACAAGGACCUCUAAAUCAACAUGAACACAGCAUUUAUGAAUUCACAGAGUCUGAAGCGGCCUGCACAGGGCCUCCGUGGCUUUGCACCAGGUCCUCUGAGCUUACAUGAUGGCUUCUAGUUUAGUGUUUUUAUGUGAUCCUUGAGCAUGUUAGCAAGUGGGUCUCUGACCCUUGGGCCCUUUCUUGGGCUCUUUUUCUUCCAUUGGCCUGUCUUUGAUGUGAUAGUUUUUGUUUUAAUUUGCUAUGUUCUUAAAACUGAAUGGAUGAAUGAAUGUAAGCCUAGCCACUAGGGUAAAGAUUAACAAUGGAACUGUCAUUUAUAUCUUCCGGGAGAGGGGAAAAUCAGUUUUCUCCGGUGGAGUGACACUGGGUAUAUCAACCACUCCAGGACAAGACUCAUGUUCAGGAAUAGCUGACUAACAUGCAAUGGACUAUGCAACUUAUUGUGUGUGUGUGCAUGUGCUCUAU